AGCGAAUAGAUACCCAGGUAGUCCACGCCGUAAACGAUGAGCACUAGUUAUUGGGGGUAUUGACUCCCUCAGUGACGCAGCUAACGCAUUAAGUGCUCCGCCUGGGGAGUACGGUCGCAAGACUAAAACUCAAACAAAUUGACGGGGGCCCGCACAAGCGGUGGAUUAUGUGGUUUAAUUCGAAGCAACGCGCAGAACCUUACCUAGGCUUGAACUCCUACGAACCUCUUGUAAUGGAGAGGGUGUCCGCAAGGAAAUGUAGUGAGAGGUGCUGCAUGGCUGUCGUCAGCUCGUGUUGUGAAAUGUUGGGUUAAGUCUCGCAACGAGCGCAACCCCUAUCGUCUGUUGCCAGCAUUAAGUUGGGCACUCUGACGAGACUGCCUGGGUUAACCAGGAGGAAGGUGGGGAUGACGUCAAGUCCUCAUGGCCCUUAUGUCUAGGGCUACACACGUAAUACAAUGGCGCGUACAGAGGGAAGCGAACUAGCAAUAGGGAGCAAAUCUCAAAAAGCGCGCCUCAGUUCGGAUU
rnacentral:rRNA from 1 species